rnacentral:rRNA from 1 species
UACAGAGGUCUCAAGCGUUGUUCGGAUUCAUUGGGCGUAAAGGGUGCGUAGGUGGCGGGGUAAGUCAGGUGUGAAAUUUCGGAGCUUAACUCCGAAACUGCAUUUGAUACUGCCUUGCUUGAGGACUGGAGAGGAGACUGGAAUUCACGGUGUAGCAGUGAAAUGCGUAGAGAUCGUGAGGAAGACCAGUGGCGAAGGCGGGUCUCUGGACAGUUCCUGACACUGAGGCACGAAGGCCAGGGGAGCAAACCGGG